rnacentral:rRNA from 1 species
GAUGAACGCUGACAGAAUGCUUAACACAUGCAAGUCAACUCUGGCUGACGGGCGAGUAACGCGUAAAGAACUUGCUUCACGGUUAGGGACAACAUUUUGAAACGAAUUCUAAUACCUGAUACUGUGAGAGGGCUUUGCGUCCCAUUAGCUAGUUGGAGAGGUAACGGCUCACCAAGGCGAGGAUGGGUAGCCGGCCUGCGAGGGUGAUCGGCCACAAGGGGACUGAGACGCGGCCCUUACUCAUACGGGAGGCAGCAGUGGUGAAUAUUGGACGAUGGACCGAAGUCUGAUCCAGCAAUUCUGUGUGCACGAUGAAGUUUUCGGAAGGUAAAGUGCUUUGAGAUGAGAAGCGGUACCAGCAGAAGAAGUGACGGCUAAAUACGUGCCAGCCGCCGCGGUAAUUC